rnacentral:rRNA from 1 species
AGACCCGAAACCCGGUGAUCUAGCCAUGGGCAGGUUGAAGGUUGGGUAACACUAACUGGAGGACCGAACCGACUAAUGUUGAAAAAUUAGCGGAUGACUUGUGGCUGGGGGUGAAAGGCCAAUCAAACCGGGAGAUAGCUGGUUCUCCCCGAAAGCUAUUUAGGUAGCGCCUCGUGAAUUCAUCUCCGGGGGUAGAGCACUGUUUCGGCAAGGGGGUCAUCCCGACUUACCAACCCGAUGCAAACUGCGAAUACCGGAGAAUGUUAUCACGGGAGACACACGGCGGGUGCUAACGUCCGUCGUGAAGAGGGAAACAACCCAGACCGCCAGCUAAGGUCCCAAAGUCAUGGUUAAGUGGGAAACGAUGUGGGAAGGCCCAGACAGCCAGGAUGUUGGCUUAGAAGCAGCCAUCAUUUAAAGAAAGCGUAAUAGCUCACUGGUCGAGUCGGCCUGCGCGGAAGAUGUAACGGGGCUAAACCAUGCACCGAAGCUGCGGCAGCGACACUGUGUGUUGUUGGGUAGGGGAGCGUUCUGUAAGCCUGUGAAGGUGUGCUGUGAGGCAUGCUGGAGGUAUCAGAAGUGCGAAUGCUGACAUAAGUAACGAUAAAGCGGGUGAAAAGCCCGCUCGCCGGAAGACCAAGGGUUCCUGUCCAACGUUAAUCGGGGCAGGGUGAGUCGACCCCUAAGGCGAGGCCGAAAGGCGUAGUCGAUGGGAAACAGGUUAAUAUUCCUGUACUUGGUGUUACUGCGAAGGGGGGACGGAGAAGGCUAUGUUGGCCGGGCGACGGUUGUCCCGGUUUAAGCGUGUAGGCUGGUUUUCCAGGCAAAUCCGGAAAAUCAAGGCUGAGGCGUGAUGACGAGGCACUACGGUGCUGAAGCAACAAAUGCCCUGCUUCCAGGAAAAGCCUCUAAGCAUCAGGUAACAUCAAAUCGUACCCCAAACCGACACAGGUGGUCAGGUAGAGAAUACCAAGGCGCUUGAGAGAACUCGGGUGAAGGAACUAGGCAAAAUGGUGCCGUAACUUCGGGAGAAGGCACGCUGAUAUGUAGGUGAAGUCCCUCGCGGAUGGAGCUGAAAUCAGUCGAAGAUACCAGCUGGCUGCAACUGUUUAUUAAAAACACAGCACUGUGCAAACACGAAAGUGGACGUAUACGGUGUGACGCCUGCCCGGUGCCGGAAGGUUAAUUGAUGGGGUCAGCGCAAGCGAAGCUCUUGAUCGAAGCCCCGGUAAACGGCGGCCGUAACUAUAACGGUCCUAAGGUAGCGAAAUUCCUUGUCGGGUAAGUUCCGACCUGCACGAAUGGCGUAAUGAUGGCCAGGCUGUCUCCACCCGAGACUCAGUGAAAUUGAACUCGCUGUGAAGAUGCAGUGUACCCGCGGCAAGACGGAAAGACCCCGUGAACCUUUACUAUAGCUUGACACUGAACAUUGAGCCUUGAUGUGUAGGAUAGGUGGGAGGCUUUGAAGUGUGGACGCCAGUCUGCAUGGAGCCGACCUUGAAAUACCACCCUUUAAUGUUUGAUGUUCUAACGUGGACCCGUGAUCCGGGUUGCGGACAGUGUCUGGUGGGUAGUUUGACUGGGGCGGUCUCCUCCUAAAGAGUAACGGAGGAGCACGAAGGUUGGCUAAUCCUGGUCGGACAUCAGGAGGUUAGUGCAAUGGCAUAAGCCAGCUUGACUGCGAGCGUGACGGCGCGAGCAGGUGCGAAAGCAG